UAGUCCUAGCCGUAAACGAUGGGCACUAAGUAGGGGUCCUCCCAAGGGAUCCCUGCCGUAGCUAAUGUGUUAAGUGCCCCGCCUGGGGAGUAUGGUCGCAAGGCUAAAACUCAAAGGAAUUGACGGGGGCUCACACAAGCGGUGGAGCAUGUUGUUUAAUUCGAUGCAACGCGAAGAACCUUACCUGGACUUGACAUCUAUGUGGUACCGAACCGAAAGGGGAGGGACCGUCUUUGACGGAGCAUAGACAGGUAUUGCAUGGCUGUCGUCAGCUCGUGCCGUGAGGUGUCGGGUUAAGUCCCUUAACGAGCGCAACCCUUGUCCUUAGUUGCUAGCGGGUAAAGCCGAGAACUCUAGGGAGACUGCCGGUGUUAAACCGGAGGAAGGCGGGGACGACGUCAAGUCAUCAUGGUCCUUACGUCCAGGGCCACAAACGUGCUACAAUGGCAGGUACAAAGCGAAGCGAGACCGCGAGGUGGAGCAAAUCGCAGAAAGCCUGUCCCAGUUCGGAUUGUAGGCUGAAACUCGCCUACA
rnacentral:rRNA from 1 species